rnacentral:lncRNA from 10 species
CAAUGUUUAAUUAAAUUUCUUACUAACAUGCUUCAGUAUUUAAUAUGUGCUUAUUUAUUCUGCUAUAACUUCUAAUAGCAACAUAGAGAGCUUUCACAUACUUUCUGAAUGAAACUGUAUUGCUGUCUAAGGACUGAAUUGUGAGGAAAUGUUUCACAUACAUUAAUUUAUGAAGGUGGGUUCUACUCAGUGUAAGACAAAUCACAAUGAUUAUCUCAAUCCCUAAGCAUGGAUUUACUUUAAAUAUCCUAUGAGUUAAAAAAAACAAAAACAAAAAACAAGAGUUUCAAAGUUCUGAGCCCUAUUUACAUGGUAGAGUUAGCCCCAUUAGGUCAAAGAAGCUAAAUAAAGAGCAUAGCUUUUGAACAUGUAGAUAUACAAUUAACCACAAUGGCACCAAGGUUUCUUGUUAUAGUCUUUAAAUCAGCAACACUCCUUUAUAAAGAACUGCUUAAAUCAUCACAUUCACAAUAGUCUGUGUAAUUUACUCAAAGAAGGAUCAGGCAGGGUACGUUACAAUGAUUGGAGCUUUUGCUAUGCUUUGCUUCAAUUCCCCCCAGUCAUACUUAACCAGAAAUUUGCAAAAUGGUGAUUAUCUUUCUAUGAACUGAGGUGUUAUAGAAUUAUUUUCCUUAUGGAGUUUUGGGUUAUCGCUAUUAUUUUAGAAGGCAGAAUUGGUUUCCUACUAAGAAAAAACACUGCCACUUAAGAGAAAAAGAAAAAAUACGUGGGAUGAUGAUGAAAUGAGCUGUGUAUUAGAAUUCAAAUUCAUACAGCCUUGUUAGAAAAAAAAAGCCAAG